GACGAACGCUGGCGGCGUGCCUAACACAUGCAAGUCGAGCGAGUGGAUCUCCUUCGGGAGUGAAGCUAGCGGCGGACGGGUGAGUAACACGUGGGCAACCUGCCUCAUAGAGGGGAAUAGCCUUUCGAAAGGAAGAUUAAUACCGCAUAAGAUUGUAGCUUCGCAUGAAGUAGCAAUUAAAGGAGCAAUCCGCUAUGAGAUGGGCCCGCGGCGCAUUAGCUAGUUGGUGAGGUAACGGCUCACCAAGGCGACGAUGCGUAGCCGACCUGAGAGGGUGAUCGGCCACAUUGGGACUGAGACACGGCCCAGACUCCUACGGGAGGCAGCAGUGGGGAAUAUUGCACAAUGGGGGAAACCCUGAUGCAGCAACGCCGCGUGAGUGAUGACGGCCUUCGGGUUGUAAAGCUCUGUCUUCAGGGACGAUAAUGACGGUACCUGAGGAGGAAGCCACGGCUAACUACGUGCCAGCAGCCGCGGUAAUAC
rnacentral:rRNA from 1 species